GAUGAACGCUGACAGAAUGCUUAACACAUGCAAGUCAACUUGAAUUUGGGUUUUUAACUUAGGUUUGGGUGGCGGACGGGUGAGUAACGCGUAAAGAACUUGCCUCACAGCUAGGGACAACAUUUGGAAACGAAUGCUAAUACCUAAUAUUAUGAUAAUAGGGCAUCCUAUAAUUAUGAAAGCUAUAAGCGCUGUGAGAGAGCUUUGCGUCCCAUUAGCUAGUUGGAGAGGUAACGGCUCACCAAGGCGAUGAUGGGUAGCCGGCCUGAGAGGGUGAUCGGCCACAAGGGGACUGAGACACGGCCCUUACUCCUACGGGAGGCAGCAGUGGGGAAUAUUGCGCAAUGGGGGCAACCCUGACGCAGCAAUACCGCGUGAGUGAAGAAGGUUUUCGGAUCGUAAAGCUCUGUUAUUGGGGAAGAAGCAGUGACGGUACCCAAUGAGGAAGUCCCGGCUAACUACGUGCCAGCAGCCGCGGUAAUACGUAGGGGACGAGCGUUGUCCGGAAUCACUGGGCGUAAAGGGCGCGUAGGCGGUUUUAUAAGUCAGAUGUGAAAGGUACCGGCUCAACCGGUGACGUGCAUUUGAAACUGUAAGACUUGAGUACUGAAGAGGCAAGCGGAAUUCCUAGUGUAGCGGUGAAAUGCGUAGAUAUUAGGAAGAACACCGGUGGCGAAGGCGGCUUGCUGGGCAGAUACUGACGCUGAGGUGCGAAAGCGUGGGGAGCGAACAGG
rnacentral:rRNA from 1 species